CCCGCCUCCUCCCGCCAUCCCGUCCGAUCGCCGUGCGCCCUCCCCGCCUUCCCGGCUGGGCCGCUUCCUCGGCUGUGACGCCGAUGGGUCACGCACUACGCCCGAGCCGGAAGCGGGACCGGCAGUCCCGGCUCCAGCGGCCAUGAUACGGACGGUGUUUCAAGCCGCCCGAGGGCUUCUGGGAGGGAAAGGACCGGGGGCCCCAGCCCCCCUUCCGGCCCCCGUAGUUCUCGAAGUACCCGCCGCAAUGCCUGCUGGGGCUUGAAGUCCGCACCACCGAGACCUGGGAGCUCCUCUCCAAACUUAAGAAUUCGAUGCUGGAGACGUGGGACUCAGUAAAGAUACUGAAAAGUCACAAGAGCAAGGAGCAAUUCCUAGGGAACUCACAGGAACAGUGGAGUGCUCAGAGUGCAGGGGAUCAAACCCAGGAUCUUGGGCAUGUGAGACAAGCACUGAUAUCUGAACAUUCCUAAGAUAUGUCCUUAAGUUAAAAAAAGCAAGAUGCAGAACUGUAAGUUGUUUGUUAUCUUUUAUAUUAAAUAGAAAUAUUAACUUGCAUUUGCAAAAACAAACUCAGGAAAGAUAUAUACACAAUUAAUAAAAUUGAUUAUCUGGGUGGGUGAGUGAAAGGGAUGGA